GACGGAAAGCGCCACAGAAAUGAAACCGCCCAUGUCCGCAUGGGUAAGGGUGAAACGGUGGAGUAAGAGCCCACCGGGGGACUGGCAACAGGACCCGCAUGGCAAGCCCCACCAGGAGCAAUGCCGAAUAGGAUCCUUGCGCGGAGCUGAUCGGGCAACCGAUAUCGCCGCAGGGUGGCUUUGGCCCAAAGGAUCGGGUUGGCAGCUAGAGGGCCAUGGGCAACCAUGGUUCAAGAGGAAUGGUCAUCCAAGGGGGCAACCCCUGGACAGAAUCCGGCUUACAGGCCGCCCGCGCGU
rnacentral:RNase_P_RNA from 1 species